rnacentral:rRNA from 1 species
AUGCAGCAGUCACGCGCAUGGUCGUCCCUUGCCCGCGGCUUAGCGCGCCGCCUCGCCGGAGGAGCGCCGUCAGCUCCGAUUCCUCCUCUCCAGUCCUCGGGAAUCUCCACCGGCUCGGCCUGUCUGCUCGCCCGCCAGGACGGAGGUUUUGUUCAUGGUGGGUUCAUGGAUUCCAUUCGUAUUGGUGGUGUUGUGAUACCUAACCACAAGAGGGUGGAGUACGCGCUGCAAUCCAUCCAUGGCAUUGGCCGGGCACGCGCCCGUCAGAUCCUUUCAGAGCUCAAUUUGGAGAACAAGGUCACCAAAGACCUCUCCAAGGAGGAGAUCAUCACCCUCCGUGAGGGGAUCGCAAAGUACAUGAUUGAAACAGACCUAAGACGGUUUAAGAGUGCGGCGGUCGAGAGAUUGGAAGGGAUUAGAUGCUACAGGGGCAUCCGGCACGCGGAUGCUCUCCCGGUACGUGGCCAGAGAACAAAGACCAAUGGCAGGACUCGCAAGGAAAAGAGGGCUUGA